UGUUAGGUCCAUCCUGCACAAGAACAUGCUCAAUGGUUGCAUGAUUUUGCAUCAAGAGUAGAUCAUCGCUCGGACUUUGGAUGGAACUGAUUGACCUUUUAGACGGGUCAUAUGGCGUAGAGUCUUGUAUGAGCUUCAGAGUUCGUAAUAUUCUGUCCAUUGCGUAUUCAAGGAGAAACUGCUGCAGUAAGAUGUCUUGUCAGUUUAAUGGCCAGUGUUUAUGAUACCCUUUGCCGGAGUCCUUGUGUGAUCUAGUGGGUUUGGCUUCGGACUUGCCAUGGCAAGGGAAUGUCGAAACUGUUUGGUUUGAUUCGUAAUCAUGAAGCAUUUCUGGUGUCCUCUGGUGUGCUGGCUGUUGCGUUCCAGUGAUUUGCUGCAUGAACUAAAAUUCAGGAUUUGCAUUUAAGUGCACCUGCAACUGUGGAACAUAUAAUUGGAGGACAUAGGCUCUGUUUGGCGUCA